AAAGUCUACAAAACACAUGCAAUCUUUGUCCCAUCAGAAGAUGCCGAUCCACCCUAGGCGGUGGUUGGCAGCCAUAUCAAGGUGGAAGAGCUGCUAUGCCAAAAAUCUCCCAUACGCACAAAACAAGGUAUUUUCUGGCAGAAUUCGAGGGACCUGAGCAAAAAUUUGAUUUAGAGACUGACAAAGGACUGCAGAUGCUGUUGGAUUCUGACCUCCCUGCACUCGAUAUGGAUUUUAUGGAGCUACAAAACUCCAAAUAGCGCGAUCUCAAUUGCGUUGAAAAGUAGACAUCCAGGGCUUUCCAGCAAUAUAUAAUAAUCCAAACUUUGUGCGUGUUUUGAUGACAUAAAAUGGUGUCAAAACGCCAGCUCUCUACCCUUUUCUGGCGUCAAAACGCCAGAACUGGCAUAAAAAUUGAAGUUAAACGCCCAAACUGGUACCAAAGCUGGUGUUUAACUCCAAGAGAAGCCUCUACACGUGUGAAGCUCAAUGCUCAGUCCAAGCACACACCAAGUGGGCCCGGAAGUAGAUUUCUGCAUCAUUUAUAUUUCUAUAAACCCUAGUAGAUAGUUUCAUUAUAAAUAGGACAGUUUACUUUGUAUUUUCAUCUUGAAAUCUUUGGAAUGUUCUUCCUUAGACAUUGGGGGCUGGCCAUUCGGCCAUGCCUGGAGCUUGUUCUUAUGUAUUUGAUACGUAAAAAAUAAAAUAUUAACGCGCAACCGGCAAGUAUACCAGAUCGUAUCAA